rnacentral:tRNA from 1 species
GGUGAAGUCAGCUAAUUUUAAAGCUUUCGGGCCCAUACCCCGAAUAUGACGGUUAAAAUCCAUCCUCUACCU